CCGCGACCGGCGCACGGGUGAGUAACACGUAUGCGACCUGCCCCCGCAGGGGGAUAACCGGGAGAAAUCCCGACUAAUACCGCGUAACGCCGCGGACCUGCAUGGGUCUGCGGCCAAAGGAAGCGAUUCCGGCGGGGGAUGGGCAUGCGGCGCAUUAGCUAAUCGGCGGGGUAACGGCCCACCGAGGCGACGAUGCGUAGGGGUUCUGAGAGGAAGGUCCCCCACACUGGUACUGAGACACGGACCAGACUCCUACGGAAGGCAGCAG
rnacentral:rRNA from 1 species